GAUGAAGAACGCAGCGAAAUGCGAUACUUGGUGUGAAUUGCAGAAUACCGUGAACCAUCGAGUCUUUGAACGCAAGUUGCGCCCGAAGCCAUUAGGCCGAGGGCACGCCUGCCUGGGCGUCACACGUCGUUGCCCCCCCAUCUACUCCUUCGGGAUUGCGGGGGGCGGAUGAUGGCCUCUCGUGCGCCUCGUCGCGCGGUUGGCCUAAAUGCCAAGUCCUCGGCGACGCACGCCACGACAAUCGGUGGUUGCGAAACCUCGGUUGCCUGUCGUGUGCGGUCGUCGCGCAUCGAGGGCUCGAAAAAAUUGCCGGGCUUCGGCUCGACUUUCAACGCGACCCCAGGUCAGGCGGGGUUACCCGCUGAAUUUAAGCAUAUCAAUAAGCGGAGGA
rnacentral:misc_RNA from 1 species